AGCGAACGCUGGCGGCAGGCUUAACACAUGCAAGUCGAGCGGACCUUUCGGGGUCAGCGGCGGACGGGUGAGUAACGCGUGGGAACGUGCCUUCCGGUUCGGAAUAACCCUGGGAAACUAGGGCUAAUACCGGAUACGCCCUUAUGGGGAAAGGUUUACUGCCGGACGAUCGGCCCGCGUCUGAUUAGCUAGUUGGUGGGGUAACGGCCUACCAAGGCGACGAUCAGUAGCUGGUCUGAGAGGAUGAUCAGCCACACUGGGACUGAGACACGGCCCAGACUCCUACGGGAGGCGGCAGUGGGGAAUAUUGGACAAUGGGCGCAAGCCUGAUCCAGCCAUGCCGCGUGAGUGAUGAAGGCCUUAGGGUUGUAAAGCUCUUUUAUCCGGGACGAUAAUGACGGUACCGGAGGAAUAAGCCCCGGCUAACUUCGUG
rnacentral:rRNA from 1 species